AUAAACGAUCGGGAAGCGAGCUAUACAAAUUUUGCAGUAUUUGCAGCGAAAUUGUUGUCCAGGCCGUUUGAUUGCCGCAACUAAAGUUGUUUUGCUAUCAAAUUGCCUGCCUCCUUCAUAUACCUUGCGCGAUAGCAACCCCCAUACGUUUUCCAUUAUAUAAUAUUAAGGUCAGGUGAAUAUGGGGGCCAUUCGAGCAAGUCCACAUUUUGAUCCUUAAUCCAUUCUUUUACCACCUUAGUUUAUGAAUAGGAGCGUUAUCUUGCUGGUAAGUCCAUUUAAUAACGUGAAAAAUAUUGGAGUAAUAAGGAAACGCUGUCUGUAUUAUAGAUUUGUAGGUUUCUCCCCUCAUUUUGGAAGUAACAAAUUGCAGGUCACAAGUGCCAAGGACUGAUACCGACCCCCAAACCAUUACGCCUCCUUCACAGCUAUGGCCACGGUUCAGGAAAUGCUCUUCCUUUCGACGAUCGUGAUAGUAAUAAUUGUAUCCAAAUGUCCAAAUUACAUUUUUUUUCGUCGGAUUCUGAUUUUUUGAUUUGUUUCUCAAAAAAUUACUCACAACAUUUUGGCUUCGUAAAAUUUUCGAGAGAUUUUGCAUUGACUAAGACCACUUUCACGAUAGGCUUCAAUUUAGCCUCUUUCAUACUCCGAUAAUUGUUCUCCGCGUCCCAUUUUUCAAAUAAUUUAAAGAAAAUAUUGUUAUUUUCUCCAAGUGAUCAACAAAUUUACAUAAAAAAUAAACAAUUAAAAUCGAAUGAUAUUGCAUAUGUGUGCCGUUUAAAGGAUUGUAAAGCACGGGUUUAUUUAAGUGCAGAUAAGGCUCGCGUUUUUUUCCAAUCCUGAGAAAAUAAAGCAUAUUCAUGGACCAUGUUCCAUGUCCCAUGAUGUUCUCGCAAGGUAAGUACAGAUACACGUACGCAUACAUACAAUCAUUAGUAUACAUAUGUAUGUAUAUAUGAUACAUAUGUAUAUUUAUUCAAAAACAUGACGGUGUGUGUGUAUGUAUUAUUCAGAAAUUUAUAUACAUACAUAUUUCAAUUUAAUAUUUUUUGUUUCGUUUUAUAUUUGCUUCUGACAAGGUCAUCACUUUGAUGCAAGGCAAUAUUGAGGAGCAGAAUAGGCAUUUUUUAAUAGAUGCCACAUUUAAAGUUUGCCCUUUCGGGGACUUUAAGCAACUGCUUAAUAUUUACAUAUGUUAAACUCAUGCAAAAGAUAACACCUUUCCUAUUUGUUUUGAUGACACGUAAAACGGAGCUCUGUUACCAACACCUGUUUACGUAUGUAUGUUGACUCAAACAUUUGCUGUCUUAAUGGUACAUCAUUUAUGUAUAUCCGAUUUUGAGAAGGCGAUGCGCAACGCUUUGAAAAAUUUGCAUCCAAAUAUGAAUUUUUUAUGCUUGCUGUUUCUAUUUUACACAAGCAUGUAAAAGAAAUGCAAUCAAAACUAUUGGUUUGGAUAAAAUGCUUUCGUGCAGUAAACAUGCGUAUAUGCUGUUUAUGAAAUUUACCUCUUUUACCGGAAUGCAAGCAUUUGUUGUUGAAGCAUUUAGUCUUCUUGAAGCUCAAGCCACAGCCUCAGAUAAGAAGAUGUUUUCGCCCUUUUUAAAAUAUUUUAAGAAGCAGUGGCUUAAGAAGGAAGGACCUAAAAAUAUAUCGGUAUACAAACGAUCCACAAGAACCACGGGCUCAGUUGAAGCAUAUACUUUAUAUUUGGGCAAUAAAAUUCGAGCAAAGGGACACUUUUUCAAAUUUGUGGAAUGUAUCAUUGAUUGCGGAGUAUGAAAAAAGUCGAGAAUUCGCUCUUCUCUUUCAAAAUGGUGGGAUAGGUAAUUCAACACAACCAAAACCUAUAUGUUUUGGCUUCAAAUAGCAAAAGUUCCUGCUAAGUUUUGUCAAGGACUUAAGAAGGUCAGAUCGCUUGACAGAUAAGCGCAGCCCAAUUGUGUUUUAGUAGCAGACAAUAUACAAGAUAUCUUCCAGUCACGUCUUGUGUAGACACAAGAUGAGAAAAGAAUUUAUCCUUUCAGUUUGCCGUAUACGCGGAACUGAUUUUCUACAAGAAACGUCGAGUAUAAAUUCUGCCAAAGGGAAAUUUAAAUUUCCCUCGGCUGCGCUGGCAGAAUUUGUACUCGACGUUUCUUGUAGAAAAUAUGUGGUCCAGCUUUUGCGGAAAAUCUGUGCUUAGAUUCUAGUGCGUAGUUCGGAAUAUGC